UACGUAGGGCGCAAGCGUUGUCCGGAAUUAUUGGGCGUAAAGAGCUCGUAGGCGGUCUGUUGCGUCCGCUGUGAAAACCCGGGGCUUAACCCCGGGCUUGCAGUGGAUACGGGCAGACUAGAGGCAGGUAGGGGAGAAUGGAAUUCCCGGUGUAGCGGUGAAAUGCGUAGAUAUCGGGAAGAACACCCGUGGCGAAGGCGGCUCUCUGGGACGGUACUGACGCUGAGACGCGAAAGCGUGGGGAGCGAACAGG
rnacentral:rRNA from 1 species